AUUGAACGCUGGCGGCAUGCCUUACACAUGCAAGUCGAACGGUAACAGGUCUUCGGAUGCUGACGAGUGGCGAACGGGUGAGUAAUACAUCGGAACGUGCCUAGUAGUGGGGGAUAACUACUCGAAAGAGUGGCUAAUACCGCGUGAGAUCUACGGAUGAAAGCAGGGGAUCGCAAGGCCUUGUGCUACUAGAGCGGCCGAUGGCAGAUUAGGUAGUUGGUGGGAUAAAAGCUUACCAAGCCGACGAUCUGUAGCUGGUCUGAGAGGACGAUAGGCAAAACGGGGACGGAGACACGGCCCAGAUGCCUACGGGAGGAAGAAGUGGGGGAUUUUGGAUAAUGGGCGCAAGCCUGAUCCAGCAAUGCCGCGUGCAGGAUGAAGGCCUUCGGGUUGUAAACUGCUUUUGUACGGAACGAAAAGCCCUGGGUUAAUACCCUGGGGUCAUGACGGUACCGUAAGAAUAAGCACCGGCUAACUACGUGCCAGCAGCCGCCGUAACAC
rnacentral:rRNA from 1 species